rnacentral:lncRNA from 1 species
AAAGAAAUAGCAUGUUGAUUGAGAAAGAGAUAGAAUUUACGAAUAGAAUUAGAAGAAGAUUUUUUGUGAGAGAUGAAAGUUAGCUUUUCAAUUGGUAAUCAACAAAAGUUACCAACCGAUGAAUCAUUUAUUAAAAAGAAGGAUAAUUUUAGAAAAUAAUAGGCGAAAUAGAAUACUAGAAAACAUUUUUUUUGGGUGUAACGUAUUCCCCUUCCCCUUUUGCCCUUCAAAAU